rnacentral:rRNA from 1 species
AUUGAACGCUGGCGGCAGGCCUAACACAUGCGAGUCGAGCGGAUGAAGGGAGCUUGCUCCUGGAUUCAGCGGCGGACGGGUGAGUAAUGCCUAGGAAUCUGCCUGGUAGUGGGGGAUAACGUCCGGAAACGGGCGCUAAUACCGCAUACGUUCUGAGGGAGAAAGUGGGGGAUCUUCGGACCUCACGCUAUCAGAUGAGCCUAGGUCGGAUUAGCUAGUUGGUGGGGUAAAGGCCUACCAAGGCGACGAUCCGUAACUGGUCUGAGAGGAUGAUCAGUCACACUGGAACUGAGACACGGUCCAGACUCCUACGGGAGGCAGCAGUGGGGAAUAUUGGACAAUGGGCGAAGGCCUGAUCCAGCCAUGCCGCGUGUGUGAAGAAGGUCUUCGGAUUGUAAAGCACUUUAAGUUGGGAGGAAGGGCAGUAAGUUAAUACCUUGCUGUUUUGACGUUACCAACAGAAUAAGCACCGGCUAACUUCGUG